AUUGAACGCUGGCGGCAUGCUUUACACAUGCAAGUCGAACGGUAACAGGCCGCAAGGUGCUGACGAGUGGCGAACGGGUGAGUAAUGCAUCGGAACGUGCCCAGUCGUGGGGGAUAACGCAGCGAAAGCUGCGCUAAUACCGCGUACGAUCUGUGGAUGAAAGCGGGGGACCGAAAGGCCUCGCGCGAUUGGAGCUGCCGAUGUCAGAUUAGGUAGUUGGUGGGGUAAAGGCCCACCAAGCCAACGAUCUGUAGCUGGUCUGCGAGGACGACCAGCCACACUGGGACUGAGACACGGCCCAGACUCCUACGGGAGGCAGCAGUGGGGAAUUUUGGACAAUGGGCGCAAGCCUGAUCCAGCAAUGCCGCGUGCAGGAAGAAGGCCUUCGGGUUGUAAACUGCUUUUGUACGGAACGAAACGGCUCUGGUUAAUACCUGGGGCUAAUGACGGUACCGUAAGAAUAAGCACCGGCUAACUACGUGCCAGCAGCCGCCGUAACAC
rnacentral:rRNA from 1 species